UAAUUAAAAAUACGCCAGCCAAUAUUAGCCAAUUAAUUAUUGGCUAAAUAAUGCAAAUAUUUUGAAUUAUUUAGCCAAUAAUUAAAAAUAGCAUAAAGAUGAUAUAAAAUUAACUUGGCUACUUUAAAGUGACUAAUUGCACCGACACUGUAAUAAAAUGUUUUUUUAAAUAGUAGCAAGAUUUAUAGAAAUUACUUUUUAUUUUUAGUUCACAUUUAUUAAAUAUAAUUCUCGGACUUUUCUUCAAUAUGUUGACGUAAUUGUACCAUGUUUUUUUUUUCUCUUCAUAAUCUCAUAUUGGGGCGCUGUAUCUGCUUUGUGCGGGGUUGUUCACACGUGACUUUCGUAGGUUUAAAAUUUCAUUUGGCGGGAGAUUUUUCGCCGUUCCCUUCGCUUACUUUUUAGCGAAUUAUUUAAAAUUUGUUUACGUAUAAGUCUUAUUAAAUGACGUCUUUUGCAUUAAGGAAUAAUCCAGUCGUAAUGACGAUUGUAUUAGUAAGGGAAUCGAGUCGUGUUUUGUUGGGAUUGAAGAAAAGAGGAUUCGGAGAAGGAAAGUGGAAUGGUUUUGGUGGGAAAGUGCAAGAAGGAGAAACGAUAGAAGAAGCUGCCAUUAGGUAAGCUCGUGUUAAAAUACAAACUGCGCGCAUAGAGAUAUUGCAGAAAAGGCUGCAAUGUCUCUAUGCGUGCUAGUUAAGUCAUCCGCCUGAUCACUCUUCUAUUCUCUGCACAAAUUUUAUCUUCAUAUUCUAUAUAUGUAUAUGGUAUAUACAGGAUUACCAGAUGUCUGUGUUCCAGUUGUAAUUUUGUCUCGGUUAGAGGUAAGAUACCAAAAUUUAUUUAAAUUAAUUAUAAAUCCAGUGGAGCAACUUUUGAAAACACCCAAAACCAAGAAAGGUGGCUGUAGUGUGGCUUGAUCUUGAUGUCCGGCUACUGUCGCCUUCCUGCCGGGACGUACCCCUACGGGUCAAAUAAGAGCAAAGACAGGAUAGUGUGCCUUAAUGAUAUGUUGAAUUGUAAUGGGAGGAAGUGAGGAGUACUUCCGUCGCCUGUCCCGGUUUGAUGUGAAAAUCUGGCAAGCCUAUGUAUAUCGGUUAGCUCUAUUUUUCUAUUUUUAUUCAACUUUUCUUAUAAAAAAAAUUGUUUACUUGUAGAGAAUUAGCUACACAAUAAUGUAAGUCAUUCAUAUCAUGUUUUUCUUAAGCAGAAUUAGAUUUUUCACAAAAUUUAAAUGUUUUAGAAUCCAUAUUUAUUUCAUUGGUUUUGAUAUGGAUAUGAAGAUGAUGAUUGAUUGUUAGCAUUAUAAUCAUAAUUAUCCUUCCAGAGGGUAUGCCUAACUGUGUUUACUUUGGCCUUAGAAAUAACUGAAGAUA